CAGCCGCCACGGUAAUACGAAGGGUGCAAGCGUUAAUCGGAAUUACUGAGCGUAAAGCGUGCGUAGGCGGUGAGUUAAGUCUGCUGUGAAAUCCCCGGGCUCAACCUGGGAAUGGCAGUGGAUACUGGCUCGCUAGAGUGUGUCAGAGGAUGGUGUAAUUCCCGGUGUAGCGGUGAAAUGCGUAGAGAUCGGGAGGAACAUCAGUGGCGAAGGCGGCCAUCUGGGACAACACUGACGCUGAGGCACGAAAGCGUGGGGAGCAAACAGGAUUAGAUACCCCCGUAGUCCCUGUCUCUUAUAU
rnacentral:rRNA from 1 species